rnacentral:rRNA from 1 species
UACGAAGGGGGCUAGCGUUGUUCGGAAUCACUGGGCUUAAAGGGCUCGUAGGCGGCCAACUAAGUCCGACGUGAAAUCCCAAGGCUUAACCUUGGAACUGCGUCGGAUACUGGAUGGCUUGAAUUCGGGAGAGGGAUGCAGAAUUCCUGGUGUAGCGGUGAAAUGCGCAGAUAUCAGGAGGAACACCGGUGGCGAAGGCGGAUCUCUGGGCCUGUCCUGACGCUGAGGCGCGAAAGCGUGGGGAGCAAACAGG